GCGCUGGGAGAUGGCGGAGUUGGACAUUGGGCGGCACUGCCGGGUGGAACAGUGCCGGCAGCGAGAUUUUCUUCCAUUUGUAUGUGAUGGUUGUUCAGGAAUAUUUUGCCUUGAACACAGGAGCAGGGAGUCACAUAGCUAUCCUGAGGUUACUGUAAUUGAGAGACUGAAGUCAGAUACACAUACAUCUUACCCAUGCUCAUUCAAGGACUGUGCUGAAAGAGAGCUUGUGCCAGUUAUGUGUCCUUAUUGUGAGAAGAAUUUUUGCCUGAGACAUCGUCAUCAGUCAGAUCAUAAAUGUGAAGAACUGGAAAUCCCUAAGUCUCGUAUGGCUGCCACUCAGAAACUUGUUAAAGACAUUAUUGAUUCCAAGAGAGGAGAGACAGCAAGUAAACGACGGAAAGGUGCAAAAAAUAGUGAAACAGCUGCAAAGUUAGCAUUGAUGAAAUUAAAGAUGCAUGCUAAUGGAGAUAAAUCAUUGCCACAGACGGAAAGAAUUUACUUUCAGGUUUUCUUACCUAAGGGGAGCAAAGAGAAGAGUAAGCCAAUGUUCUUUCGCCAGCAGUGGAGCAUUGGAAGGGUCAUAGACUUUGCAGCUUCUUUAGCCAGUCUUAAAAAUGACAAUAACAAAUUAACACCUAAGAAAUUGAGAUUAUGUCAUAGUACUUCAGGAGAAGCCUUACCCUUGGAUCAUAUUUUGGAAACCUGGAUUGCUAAGGAGGAUUGUCCUUUAUACAAUGGUGGAAGUAUUAUCUUGGAAUAUCUGAAUGAUGAAGAACAGUUUUUAAACAAUGUUGAUUCUUACUUGGAAUAGUCAUUCAGGGAGUCAAGCUAGAAAUCACGAGGAAAAUUCAUUGUUAAUCAAAUUCUUUUACUACAAAUACUAUGUAUUUUUUAUUUUUAAAACUUGCUUUUUAUUUCAUAUUAUGUCAUAAUUUACAUUAUCAGUCUUCUAUUAAAUUGGAUUUGAAUUUU